GGAGAGGUGACCGAGUGGUUGAAGGUGCACGCCUGGAACGCGUGUGUACUCAGCAAUGAGUACCGAGGGUUCGAAUCCCUCUCUCUCCGCCA
rnacentral:tRNA from 1 species